rnacentral:rRNA from 1 species
GAUGAACGCUAGCGGCAGGCCUAACACAUGCAAGUCGAGGGAGAAGCCCUUUCGGGGGCAGAAACCGGCGCACGGGUGCGUAACGCGUAUGCAACCUACCUUUCACAGGGGGAUAGCCCGAAGAAAUUUGGAUUAAUACCCCAUAAUAUUAUUGGAUGGCAUCAUUUGAUAAUUAAAACUGCGGUGGUGAAAGAUGGGCAUGCGUCCUAUUAGCUAGUUGGAGUGGUAACGGCACCCCAAGGCUACGAUAGGUAGGGGUCCUGAGAGGGAGAUCCCCCACACUGGUACUGAGACAGGGACCAGACUCCUACGGGAGGCAGCAGUGAGGAAUAUUGAUCAAUGGUCGGAAGACUGAACCAGCCAUGCCGCGUGCAGGAAGAAUGCCUUAUGGGUUGUAAACUGCUUUUAUAUGGGAAGAAUAAGGCGUACGUGUACGUUGAUGACGGUACCAGAUGAAUAAGCAUCGGCUAACUCCGUG